rnacentral:rRNA from 1 species
UACGGAGGGUGCGAGCGUUAAUCGGAAUUACUGGGCGUAAAGCGCGCGUAGGCGGUUUGUUAAGUCAGCUGUGAAAGCCCCGGGCUCAACCUGGGAACUGCAGUUGAUACUGUCCGACUAGAGUACGAGAGAGGGAGGUAGAAUUCCAUGUGUAGCGGUGAAAUGCGUAGAGAUCGGGUGGAACACCAGUGGCGAAGGCGGCAUCCUGGACCUGACCUAACGCUGAGGCGCGAGAGCGUGGGGAGCAAACGGG